rnacentral:lncRNA from 1 species
CCUAUGUCCAAGAAAAUUAAGGAAUGCAGACACAAGGGUCGGGGUGGAGUCAAAGUUUAAUAAGCAAAAAAGAAAGCUUUCUGCAGCAGAGAGGGGAGUCCAAGUGGAUUGCCGGGUUACAGCUGAAUUUAAAAGCGUUUUAUAAGAAACUGCUCUCUUCCCUGUAACUGUUGGAAUAACUUUUCUUACCAGUAAAGCUGUCUGUGCAAUUCUUCUUCUCUUAUGCAGCUGUGGGUAUGUCUCUAGGCAAGCACAAAGCCCCACUUCUCUUGUUUGUAUAACUGUGGGUUUGUUUUAGGGGUGGGGCCGCUUUAUAGGGUUUGGGAAGAUAAUGGAAAAUUACAGUCAAAGGGGGUUGUUCUCUGGUGGGCAGGGGCGGGGGUCACAAGGUGCUCAGUGGGGGAGCUUCUGAGCCAGGAGAAGGAAAUUCACAGGGUUAAUCACUCAGUUAAGGUGGGGCAGGAACAAAUCACAAUGGUGGAAUAUCAUCAGUUAAGGCGUGGCAGGGCCUUUUCACUUCUUUUGUGAUUCUUCAGUUACUUCAGGCCAUCUGGGCGUAUACAUGCAAGUCACAGGGGAUGCGAUGGCUUGGCUUGGGCUCAGAGACCUGACAUUCCUGCCUUCUGAUAUUAAUAAGAAAAAUAAAACAAAAUAGUGUUGAAGUGUUGGGGUGGCAAAAAUUUUUGGGGGGUGGUAUGGAGAGAGAAUGGGCGAUGUUUCUCAGGGCUGCUUCAAGCGGGAUUAGGGGCAGCGUGGGAACCUAGAGUGGGAGAGAUUAAGCUGAAGGGAGGUCUUGUGGUAAGGGGUGAUAUUGUGGGGAUGUUAGAAGAGACAUUUCUUGUAUAGAAUGAUUGGUGAUGGCCUGGAUACGGUUUUGGAUGAAUUGAGAAACUAAAUGGAAGAUACAAGGUCCGAAUAAAAGAAGGAGAAAAAUGGGUAUUAAAGGACUAAGAAUUGGGAGGCCCUAGGACAUCCAAUUAGAGAGUGCCUAAGGGGUUCAGCAUAAUUACUUGCUUGGUUGGCAAGUUUUUGGGCUCUAUCCUUGAGUUUUUUUAUGUUGUCAUACACCAGGCCAGAUUGAUUUAGGUAAAAACAACACUCUUCAUUUAAGAAUAUGCAGAGUCCUCCUUUUUCAGCAGUGAGUAAGUCAAGGCCUCGGCGGUUUUGGAGGACAACUGCAGCUAAAGAGUCAACUUGGAGUACUGAUAAAGUUUGUGACAUGUCUGUGAUGCUAGCAGAGAAGUCAUUAGAGAGGCUACGGAAGGUCGAGACAGAAGUUGAAAUGCCUGCUAUUCCAGUACUGAGAGCAAUAGUGGAGGCAGAAAGUCCUAAACCGACCAUCAAGGGAAUUAGUGGAAUAACUCUUCUUUGUCAUGUCGGUGUCAUGAGGGGAACAGGGAGCUCUUCGGUCCUAUUUGCAAAUUGAAUUUUGGGGGAAAGGAAGACUAGUGUGCAUGUGCCUGUCCAAUUAGCAGGUAGACACAUGUAGGUAGAGGAACCACAGAGGAAGAAGAGACCUUGUGCAAGGCAAAACUGGAGAUGUAAAGUAAAAAGAUGAGAAGGAGUGCUGAAAGGGGUGUCUUGUACCUAGAGUCCUAGGGAUCCAGCUAGGGCGGCAGCUGUCAGAGGUUGUAAUGGGGACUGAUGGGGUAACUGCGUAGAGGGGGAGGUUCAAUUUUCAUGGUGUAUGAGAAAACAUUGAGUAUCUAUGAGCAACCUUUCACUGUUAUUUUCGGGGCUGGAUAUAAGUAAACAAGAAUAGGGCCUGGGAGGAGAGUCUGAUGAGCAAGGGGAAGGUAGCCAAGGAUGGAGUUCAAUACAGGGUAAGUGUCUUCCUAAGCAAUAAUUACUGCUAACAUUUUUAAGUUUAUCAGUAUUGAUAGAGGGCUUGUCUGUAAUAUGGAGCUGGAAGGCUCCAAUUGUUUCAGUGAUGUGUGUAAUUGGGCUUCGGAGAUGAAGAGUAAAGGAACAUCGAGAGGGUGAAAGAUUACCUAGGGGAAUUCCAGUGGGUCUUUGCUGAGAGAUACAUAAAGGAGCGGCCACAGGAAUAGUAGUUUGUGUUGUGAGAGGUCCGAAUAUGGGGGGAGUAGAGUUAAUAUAAGGAGAAAGGUUUUUUAAAUAAGUGCGAAGGAGGGCGGCAGCUUGCUGAUGUGAAAUGUCUGGGGAAGUCUUGCUGGACCUGUCUAGAGAGUAAAUGAGUUCUUCAGGAGGGUAAAGAUGAGGGCUGCUAAAGGAAGUUCAGAGGUGUAGGGAGACGGGAGAUAUUGCCCAGUCUGUCUGUAAGGCGGGGACAGCUGUGUAGGCACUGGAAGAAAGGGAAAUGCAAAGCCAGCAGUUGUUCACUAAGGAGGGACUAGAAGUGGCUAGGAGAGAAUGGGUAAGGUUGAUAGUGUGGUGGAGAUAGCUGGGGAGAGGUAGAGGGUGGCAUAAGAAUGGGAACGAGAAUAAGAGUGAGUAUAAAAGUAAAGAAUAGAACUUCAUCAGGGUGGAAGUAUUGGAGGGUGCCUUGCCAGCAAAGAUCAUCUACCCACUCUAAGAGGGAGUUAAGAGUGGCAGUUUGGGGUUAGCACCAAGAGAUAUCAGCUGUGAUGGCUUGAAGAAACAGUGUAAACCGGCGGUGUAAAGAAGAGUAGGGCAUUUAUAAGUAGUUGAGAAUGGAGAAUAGGAGUAUGACCAGACAGAAGAUAGUAGGGAUGACUAGUUUUUUUGGGCUCGGCCUAAGUGGUUGGGGUGACUUCGUAAAGCCCUGUUGCAAAAAGUAGGGUAAGGACGAACAGACCUAAUAGAAUGAAGGGAUGUAUUAGGCUCAUAAGGGUUAUUACUGCUCUUCAGAAAUAUGAGUGAGUUUAAGGGAAGUAGGGGAGAGUACUUGCGGCUUCCAGGAGGAAGAGGAGGGAUUAGGCUGGCUGUCCGAUGGACACAGCUUUAUUCUGGAAUGGUGAACCUAGUGGGGAGGAUCCUGCAGGCAGACGGCAGUCGGGGUACUAUAGAAGACGAGGUAGCAUCCGGUCCAUCGAGGUUGUAGAGUUUGAGGGGUCAGAUUCUUAACAAGAACUGAUCAUCCAGCUAGGAUGUCUCCAUAUGGCUGGGGAUCUGGAGUAGGCAAGAGAAGAUUAGCAGCCUGGUGAAUUUCCUGUCUAGCCUGCUGGAGGACUGGAAGAUAGUCACCUAGAGGGCUGGUGUCUGGGAUGAGGUUGGGGCCAAGCAAGAAAGUGUGUCCAUAUAAAAGUUCAAAUGGACCGUACCCUGUAGCAUCUCAAGGACAGGCUCUAAUUCUGAGAAGAGCAAGAGGUAAAAGUACUGUCCAAUCCUUUUUAAGUUGGAGGCUGAGCUUGGUGAGGUUUACCUUUAAAAGACCAUUAGUCCAUUCUACCUUUCCUGAAGAUUGAGGAUGGUAAGGGAUAUGAAGGUUCCACUGAAUACCAAGAGCCUGAGAAACUGCUUGGGUGAUUUGACUAGUAAAGGCUGGUCUGUCAUCAGACUGUAUAGAGGUGGGAAGCCUAAACUGAGGAAUUAUGUCUGACAGAGGGGAAGAAAUGACUGUGGUGGCCUUCUCAGACCCUGUAGGAAAGGCCUCUACUUAUCUAGUGAAAGUGUCUACUUAGACUAAGAGGUAUUUUAGUUAUCUGACUUGGGGCAUGUUGAGUGAAGCUAAUUUGCCAGUCCUGGGUGGGGGCAAAACCUUGAGCUUGAUGUGUAGGGAAGGGAGGGGGCCUGAAUAAUCCUUGAGGAGUAGUAGAAUAGCAGAUAGAAUAGCAGAUGGAACACUUGAGAAGUUAUUUCCUUGAGGAUAGAUUUCUACAAUGGAAAGGAAAUGAAAGGUUCAAAGAGGCGGGCUAGUGGCUUGUACUAUAGCAUAGCCUGCCUUUGCUGAUGUGUGGUGAUUAGGCCUGGUGGAACUGCCAUCAAUAAAUCAAGCGUGAUCAGGGUGAGAAACAGGGAAGAAGGAAAUGUGGGGAAAUAGGAUGAACAUCAGGUGGAUCAGAGAGAUGCAAUCAUGAGGGUCAGGUGUGGUAUCAGGAAUACUGUGGGAGGCUGGAUUGAAGUCCAGGCCAGGAACAAUGGUAAUUGUGGGACUUAACAAAGAGUGAGUACAGCUGAAGGAGCUGGGGAACAGAAAGUAUAUGCGUCAGGUAUGAGGAAGAAAAUAGAUUUUGGAAGUUAUGAGAAAUGUAGAGAGUGAGUUGAGCAUUGUUUGUGAUUUUUAGGGCCUCUAAAAUUAUUAAAGCAGCAGCAGCUGCUGCACACAGACAUGAGGGCUAGGCUAAAACAGUAAGGUCAAGUUGUUUCGACAGAAAGGCUACAGGGUGCGGUCCUGGCUCUUGUGUAAGAAUUCUGACGGCACUAACCAUGCCUAGGAAGGAAAGGAGUUGUUGUUUUGUAAGGGAUUGAGGUUUGGGAGAUUAAUUGGACAUGAUCAGCAGGGAGAGCAUGUGUGUUUUUAUGAGAAUUAUGCAGAGAUAGGUAACAGAUGGAGAAGAAAUUUGAGCUUUGGAGGGGGAUACCUGAUAUCCUUUGGAGAAUAAAUGCUGAAGAAGCAGAAGUGUGUCUUGUUGAGAAGAUUCAAAGGAGGGGCUACAAAGAAGAAGGUCAUCAAUAUAUUGAAUAAGGUGAGAAGCAGAGGGGUGGAAAGAAAGUAGAUCAUGAGAAAGAGCUUGGCUGAAGUAAAUGAGGGCUGUCCCUGAAACCUUGCGGCAGCACAGCCCAGGUAAGCUGCUGGGACUGUUGGGUGUCAGGGUCAGUCCAGGUGACAGCAAAGAGAGGCUGGGAUGAGGGGUGCAGGGGAAUAGUGAAAAAAGCAUCUUUAAGAUGAAGCACAGAAUAGUGAGUUGUGGAGGAAGGUAUUGAGGACAAAAGAGUGUACAGGUUGGGCACCACAGGGUGGAUAGGCAAAACAAUUUGGUUGGUAAGGCGCAGAUCCUGAACUAAUCUGUAAGACUUGUCGGGUUUUUGGACAGGUAAAAUGGGGGAAUUGUAAGGAGAGUUUAUAGGUUUUAGAAGCCUAUGCUGUAGCAGGUCAGUGAUAACAGGCUUUAAUCCUUUUAAAGCGUGCGGUGGGAUGGGAUAUUGGCGUUGAGUGGGGUAAGGGUGAUUAGGUUUAGUGGGAUGGUAAUGGGCAUGUGAUCGGUUGCCAGGGAAGGAGUAGAGAUGUCCUAUACUUGUGGUUAAGGUGGGGGGAUAUGAGAGGAAGACGCAAAGGAGGCUUUGGGUUGGGGAGAAGGGUGGCAAUGAGAUGCAGCUGUAGUCCAGGAAUAGUCAGGGAAGCAGAUAAUUUAGUAAGUGUCUCGGCCUAAUAAGGGAACUGGGCAGGUGGGGAUAACUAAAAAGGAGUGCUUAAAAGAGCAUUGUCUAAGUUGGCACCAGAGUUGGGGAGUUUUCAGAGGUUUAGAAGCCUGGCUGUCAAUACCCACAACAGUUAUGGAGGCAAGGGAAACAGGCCCUUGAAAAGAAGGCAACGUGGAGUGGGUAGUCCCCGUUUCGAUUAAACAGGGGAUGGAUUUACCCUCCACUGUGAGAGUUACCCAAAGCUUGGCGUCCGUGAUGGUCCAGGGGGUUUCCAAGGCGAUGAGGCAGCGUCACUCUUCAGUCGCUAAGCCGAGAAGGAGUCAGUCAGAGAGCCUUGGGCCAGAGUUCUCAGGGCUCUGGGAGUGGCUGCCAGAGCAGGUAUUCACAGAUGUUUGUUAUGAGGAUGGUUGCAGCUCUGUUCCUGGAGGAACAUGGGGAAAUAUCGGAAACUUCCCUGGGCCCAAGCAGAGGAACAGAGGACCCUGAGUGAACAACAGAGAAGAAAUGUGUUUCCUUCCUGUAUCUUCUGUGUAGCGAAGGGCAUCACCACUCAUCAGUUGACAAAGCCAGACAGAAGUGAAAGUACUUGUUGAAUGAGUUCUUGAUUCUUCUUUUACACACCUACUGAAUCACUGAGAGUGUCUCUCUCUGUCUGUUAUUUAGGUUUUGACAUAAUUUGGUGUCAGAAGUAGAAUUGAAGCUGGUUAGUUGGACAGAUGGACAACCCCUGAAAUUGAGUGAAUUGCCUGUGCUGAGCCCUUUUGAGCUCUCCACCUCCGUGGCUGACCUUUUCUACCCUGCUGAAUCUCCUCUCAGAUUCCUGGACUCCUUUUUGGAUCCUAUCACCCCUAUUGCAAUCAUCAUCCCUGGCUGACAGAGGACAUCCUCAACUGAGCUUCUCGGCAAGGCUGGGAUCUUCACCAGCACGUUCCUUAUGACUUUGUUGUAAGAGAUCAAGUUUUCCUUAAAAGCUGCAGAGAAACCUUUGACUUUCAGUAUUGCCUUGAAUUGGUGGUUAAUUGCUCUGACUGUCCUUAUCUCUCAUCAAUAAAUCAAGAGCACUCAGCAUCAACCACCCACUUCCAUAGUCCUCGUUGCUAUGAUUGUCUUCAUUCUCUCAAGCCUCAGAGAUAUUGCAUCAGUCCAUGCUAUCCUUUCUACUGGAAAGCCAACCCAGUUCAUCACUGGUGGAACGUUAUGGCAUCUGCACCCCUACAGCAUCACCUCCUACCACUGGUGAUGGGAUCCUUACACCAACUGGCCAGCAAGUGAUCCUGCUCCAACAUCCCCUUCAAAUGACUCUAAAUUAGAGGCUACUGCCUAGGGCCACUUCUGGUACUAGUAAAUGGCCCUAGAUUGGGUUCUCUGGAAAAAGACUCAGAGCCAGACUUUAUGCUGAAGACUUUCUGCAGGUACGCUCAGGAGAUAUACCUAGGGGAGUGAAGACGGCAGGACUGGGCAGAGGGAGAAGCCACCCUUCCCUGCAGUUGCAACUAAGGCCUCAGACAACAGAAGAAGCAGCAGGAAAAUAACAGCAGACUUUCAGCCUCAGUGCCAGAAUGAUAACAGCGAGAGCUGGGGACUGAGGCAAACUGGUAGUGACUUGCUUUGUUGUGCCCUGUGGAACAUGGACUUCUUGCUGCUACAUUCUAUAGUUUUCUAAUGAUGUAAAAAAAUCUGAAUUUUUAAUGUGAAAUCUCCUGUUCUUUGUGGCUUAGUUUUUACUUUUAUUUUUUAAAAAACGUGGUUCCAUCCUAAGAAAACAUACUGGCUGUCUGUUGUUUUCUAUCUGCAGCCCUUUUGCAACUUGUCAAUCAAACAGUAAACCCCUGGGUGCGACUGUCAGGGAGCAUGCUCACAAGACUUCUCAGAGU